CGUUACUACCAGGGCGGGCUGGAGCAUGAAAAACAGAGAAACAAGUAGCAGGUGAUAGACAAAAAUAGGCCGGCGCCGGCGCCACCACCGCCGUCUCCCCUACCCAUGCGGCCAUGCCACGACCAGGCCUUAUUCGUAGCGCAAGCAGCAAGAGACGACGCGGAGAAGACGACACCGUUGCGGUUGCGGAUCCGAUGUAAACGCGGUUCUGAUCUUUCUUACAAGAGAAAAUGGAUCAGCGGCAUCCUGCCGGUACCAGCGAUGGUGCUCCUCUACCCCCAAGCCUCCUCCUCGACCUGCAGGUCGACACGGCCUCGGCCGGCGACGGCGACGGCGACCGCAACGACACCACCGCCUCCUGCAACGACGUCCAGGUCACCCUGUUGGCCGCCAGCCCGCCCGGAGUCUCCCGCCUCCAGGUCUUCCGCUCCGCCGGCGCCGGCGCCUCCGCUCCCCACAUCGUCGCCACGGAGGCCGACCUGGUCCUCCUCGGCGUCCCUCUCAGCGCCGAGUCGGCACGCACCAGGUCCGGGUAUGAUUAUUUGGUUUACAAAUUGGGGGCGUCGUCAUCGCUGGAGCUGCUCCCGGGCGCUGUCCCUUCCUCCCUCUCGCUCGAUGACUCGCACGUCGGCAUCCUUCGCCGCGGCGACUCUUACUUGAUCGUGGCCCUGUGCUACACAUCCUCCCCUCGCAAGUACGACCUGCAUCUCUACGACUCCAAGAGCAGAGGAUGGACCGCAAAGCAGGCCUCGCUCGACCACCAGCAGCAGCGCAUGGAUCACUGCCAUGUCAACCGCAAGGUCAUCACCGUCGGGGGAGACGCUGGAACCAUGGCCUGGGUCGACCUCUGGCACGGCAUCCUCUUCUGCGACGUCCUCCUCGAGGACCCACGGCUUGAAUACAUCCCGUUGCCACCGCCACUACUGCCAACCAGGGAGCUCCAAGGCUGCCCAAGGAACGCUCGCGAUAUUGCCGUCAUUAACGGUCGCAUCUGCUACGUCGAGCUGCAGAUCAGAACCAUGCCAGGUUCGUCCAGGCCCAGCAGCUACAUCCCUGAUGGCUGGACCAUUGCCAUAUGGAGCACCACUGCUACUGGUCCUUGGCAUGACGACGACUGCUGGCACCAGGACUACAAACUCGACGCUUCUGAGAUCACUCAUGACAAACUGGCGCACUUUGAAGGCGUACCCGAGCCAACCUUGGUGAGGCUCCAAACAGGUCAUCCCACACUCUGCCUGCACGACACUCGACUUGUUUACCUCAUGACCAAAGUUGACUACCAGGACGAAAAGGCAUGGGUGCUUGCUGUUGACAUGAGGAACAAGACACUGCAAGCAGUUGCCAACUUCACCGCCGAUAGAGUCCCAGGCUUCUGCUAUACAUAUACACACGCCAGGGUCUCUCAAUAUCUCAAUAUGCAGGUUAGCAGGUUGAAUUUCUUAGGGGGUGCAAACAUCUAGAGCAACCUUGUGCUACCAUUGAGACGCAAACAAUAAGCAAAGGUUUCUGUUCUUCGUGACGUUAACCCUUCACAAACAGGCCGCAAGAUAAAUUCUUUUAACAAGAUAUAAAGGGUAACCUGAGAGGAUGAAGGAUGCUGCGAUCCAAGAUGGUGCCUGGGACGUCUUGGGUGAUGCAAAUGCAACACUAGCAUGGAGGGUGAAAGAAGGGUAGUGCUUCUCCUUAACAAGGACUCACUAGUAUGGUCUUCGAAAUGAGCAGAACAGCAGAACAGAAAAGAAAAAAACCGACUCGCUUGUAUGAACUUUUAGAAGAAAAAGAGACCAACACUAGUAAUGAUAGCUUGUGUAUCAGGGGAGCUAGUGAUGAAAACAUAUGUUUGUUUGUU